rnacentral:rRNA from 1 species
AACGAACGCUGGCGGCAUGCCUAACACAUGCAAGUCGAACGUGAUCCGUGCCUUCGGGUGCGGUGAAAGUGGCGCACGGGUGAGUAACGCGUGGGAACCUGCCCAAUGGUAGGGAAUAACCGCGGGAAACUGCGGCUAAUACCCUAUGAGCCCUACGGGGGAAAGAUUUAUCGCCGUUGGAGGGGCCCGCGUCGGAUUAGGUAGUUGGUGGGGUAAUGGCUCACCAAGCCUUCGAUCCGUAGCUGGUCUGAGAGGAUGAUCAGCCACACUGGGACUGAGACACGGCCCAGACUCCUACGGGAGGCAGCAGUGGGGAAUAUUGGACAAUGGGGGCAACCCUGAUCCAGCAAUGCCGCGUGAGUGAAGAAGGCCUUAGGGUUGUAAAGCUCUUUCGGCGGGGACGAUGAUGACGGUACCCGCAGAAGAAGCCCCGGCUAACUCCGUGCCAGCAGCCGCAGUAA